CAGGUCUGUAGCAAUACAGAUGCUGGCGACCGGCAAACGGGUGCGGAACACGUACAGAACCUUCCUUCGAGCGGGGAAUAGCCCGGAGAAAUCCGGAUUAAUACCCCAUAGUAAAUUGGAGAGGCAUCUCUUUGAUUUUAAAGAUUUAUCACUUGAAGAUGGCUGUGCGCCUGAUUAGGUAGUUGGCGGGGUAACGGCCCACCAAGCCUACGAUCAGUAACUGGUGUGAGAGCACGACCAGUCACACGGGCACUGAGACACGGGCCCGACUCCUACGGGAGGCAGCAGUAAGGAAUAUUGGUCAAUGGACGAAAGUCUGAACCAGCCAUGCCGCGUGGAGGAUGAAGGUCCUCUGGAUUGUAAACUUCUUUUAUAUGGGACGAAAAAGGGUCUUUCUAGAUCAACUGACGGUACCAUGUGAAUAAGCACCGGCUAACUCCGUGCCAGCAGCCGCGGUAAUGCGGAGGGUGCAAGCGUUAUCCGGAUUCACUGGGUUUAAAGGGUGCGUAGGUGGGUUGGUAAGUCAGUGGUGAAAUCCCCGAGCUUAACUUGGGAACUGCCAUUGAUACUAUCAAUCUUGAAUACCGUGGAGGUCAGCGGAAUAUGUCAUGUAGCGGUGAAAUGCUUAGAUAUGACAUAGAACACCAAUUGCGAAGGCAGCUGGCUACACGAAUAUUGACACUGAGGCACGAAAGCGUGGGGAUCAAACAGGAUUAGAUACCCUGGUAGUCCACGCCCUAAACUAUGGAUACUCGACAUUUGCGAUACACUGCAAGUGUCUGAGCGAAAGCAUUAAGUAUCCCACC
rnacentral:rRNA from 1 species